rnacentral:rRNA from 1 species
AACCAUGCCCGUGCCAGUGUCCGCGUGAAGGCGGAGGUGUGUUGCGUGUGCCGGCACUACGGGGGGGUGAGGGCGCGUAGGAGGGGCAUGUAUGUGCUGGGGAAAGCCCGGGGUUCAACUCCGGGGUUUCCGGUCAGACUGGUGGGCGUGAGCACGGUAGAGGGGGAUGGAAGUCCCGGUGUAGCGGUGGAAGGCGUAGAGAGCGGGAAGAAUACCGGUGGCGAAGGCGUUCCGCUGGGCCGUUGCUGACGCUGAGGCGCGACAGCGUGGGGAGCAAACAGGAUUAGAUACCCGUGUAGUC